rnacentral:rRNA from 2 species
CGGCGAGUGAAGCGGCAACAGCUCAAAUUUGAAAUCUGACGUCUUAGGCGUCCGAGUUGUAAUUUGCAGAGGGAGUCUCGGGUUUAGGACCGGCCCAAGUGCCUUGGAACAGGAUACCAAAGAGGGUGAGAGUCCCGUAUCCGGCCGGUACCAACGCCCGUGUGAGACCCCUUCGACGAGUCGAGUUGUUUGGGAAUGCAGCUCUAAAUGGGUGGUAAAUUCCAUCUAAAGCUAAAUACUGGCCAGAGACCGAUAGCGCACAAGUAGAGUGAUCGAAAGAUGAAAAGCACUUUGAAAAGAGAGUCAAACAGUACGUGAAAUUGUUGAAAGGGAAGCGUAUGUGGGCAGACUUGACCACGGGAUUCAGCUCGUCUUCUGGCGGGUGUACUUUCUCGUGGGCAGGCCAGCAUCGGUUUCGGGGGUAAGACAAAGGCGGCGGGAAUGUGGCACCCUUCGGGGUGUGUUAUAGCCCGUCGUGUAAUGUUGCC